CGCAGAAUCUGAAGAUGACGGCCAUGGGAUAUGGAAGGAGUUUCAGUAUUGAAACAUGUCUGCAGAAGCCAUGAUAGGUUGCUGAUUUAGAUAGAGUGAAUUCCAUGGGUUCAUGAAAGCUAUCAGCACCGAUUAGAGUUUCCUCAGUUUCAAAACCGUUAUUGCCCACAUUAAUGUACUGGAUGAUCUCAUUAAGGGACUGCAACCUGUUGUUCAACU